rnacentral:rRNA from 1 species
AACGAACGCUGGCGGCAUGCCUAACACAUGCAAGUCGAACGAGACCUUCGGGUCUAGUGGCGCACGGGUGCGUAACGCGUGGGAACCUGCCCUUAGGUUCGGAAUAACUCCCCGAAAGGGGUGCUAAUUCCGGAUAAUGUCUUCGGACCAAAGAUUUAUCGCCUUUGGAUGGGCCCGCGUUGGAUUAGCUAGUUGGUAGGGUAAAAGCCUACCAAGGCGACGAUCCAUAGCUGGUCUGAGAGGAUGAUCAGCCACACUGGGACUGAGACACGGCUCAGACUCCUACGGGAGGCAGCAGUGGGGAAUAUUGGACAAUGGGCGAAAGCCUGAUCCAGCAAUGCCGCGUGAGUGAUGAAGGCCUUAGGGUUGUAAAGCUCUUUUACCCGGGAUGAUAAUGACAGUACCGGGAGAAUAAGCUCCGGCUAACUCCGUG